rnacentral:piRNA from 1 species
UGCAGGAGUGAUUGGUGCUGCCUGCUAAUA